UACGAAGGGGGCUAGCGUUGUUCGGAAUUACUGGGCGUAAAGCGCACGUAGGCGGCUUUGCAAGUUAGAGGUGAAAGCCCGGGGCUCAACUCCGGAAUUGCCUUUAAGACUGCAUCGCUAGAAUUGUGGAGAGGUAAGUGGAAUUCCGAGUGUAGAGGUGAAAUUCGUAGAUAUUCGGAAGAACACCAGUGGCGAAGGCGACUUACUGGACACAUAUUGACGCUGAGGCGCGAAAGCGUGGGGAGCAAACAGG
rnacentral:rRNA from 1 species